GCCAUAUUACGUUGAAACACCGGUUCCCGUACAAUCACUGAAGUUAAGCAACGUCGAGCCUAGCAAUUACUUAGAUGGGUGACCACUUGGGAAUACCAGGUGCUGUAAG